rnacentral:lncRNA from 1 species
AAAAAGUUAAUUUGCAUCACAUCAAAAGGUCCCAUCUCACUACUUACAAGAAAAAAAACAAAAAUUAAAAAAUAUAUAUAUGAAAACUAAAAAUGUAAAAAUAUUCAUUCAAAUAUAGCAACCAAAGCCCUAAACCUAAACAACUCUCAAUUUCCUCUCUCACUCAAGAUCUUCUGUGAUUGCCAAAAUAUCCAUUUUUGUCCAGGUUUGUUGGUCUAAAAAGUUCAUACAAUUUACUCUGGUUGCCAUGCUGAAGUCCUAAACCUAUGUACAUUUUAUUGAAAUUAUAAGGAAUCUACUUAAAUGUAGGAGAAUUGUUGAAGAUCAAUAUCUACUUUUUGGUAUGUUUCUUUUUAUUUUAUUUUUUUCUGACUUGAUUUGGAUAUUUUCGUGUUCCCUUAAGAAAAAAAAUGUUGUGAUUCGAAAAAAGAUUAUCUUGAUUCAUGGAAUUUUUCCUGUUGAUGGUGGGAAGAUAGAAAUGUUGGUUUGGUUGCAAGUUCAUUGUAAUUUUUAUCUUUACUUUCUUAUAAUUGAUAUCAUGAAGUCUAGCGAAGUAUCCUUGUUAAUUCACAAAUUUUGGUGUGCAAUGAGAUGGCUAUAAUGUAAAUAGACUUCUUGCACUUUUUAAUCAACAAAAAAUGGUAAAGCCCUAUUAGUUAAUGGUAGAAGAUUAACUAUGAGUAAGAAUAAAUGUCUCUUCACUAUACAUAGUAUUUUCAUAUAACUAUUAAAAAUGUGAAUAUUACAAGUUUACAAUUGGGCUUUUGUUUAUUUUCAGUUUUCUUCUUUUUUCCCCCUCUGAAAAGAAGAA